rnacentral:rRNA from 1 species
AUGACGGCCACAAGAUCUUUCAAGUAUCACGUGUUUGUCACUUCGUUCAUGUUUGUUUGCUUCAUUGCGUUCGCCUUGUUAUUAUGGUCGGAGCACAACGUAAUCUUCACCGCCAUCACCUUCCUCUACUCCAUGGUCAUGAGCCACCUGUGGCUUAUCAAACGCCGGGACCAGAACAAGACACAGGAGCCCAAAGAUUGCGAAUUGUCUGCUAUUUGCACACGCGCACCGCCCGAGUUGAUGCUGGUGGCAACCGGGAUCAUGUUAAUCUCCUUGGGUGUGGCAAUCUUUGUAUUUCGCCCUGAUUGGCGUGACUUGGCCUUCGUUGCUUUCAUGGUCUCCUCAUCGACAGCGGUCAUGCUUAUUUACCUCAAACUUGAGGAGAUUGACAGGAAGUCCUUGGAAAAAUUUAACGAUGCCUCAAAUCUAGUCUAG